rnacentral:rRNA from 1 species
UACGUAGGUGGCAAGCGUUGUUCGGAAUUAUUGGGCGUAAAGGGCGCGUAGGCGGCUUGUUAAGUCGGUUGUGAAAGCCCGGGGCUCAACCCCGGAGAGUCGACGGAUACUGGCGAGCUAGAGUACGGAAGAGGUAGCUAGAAUUCCCGGUGUAGCGGUGAAAUGCGUAGAUAUAGGGAGGAACACCUGAGGCGAAGGCGGGCUACUGGGCCGUUACUGACGCUGAGGCGCGAAAGCGUGGGGAGCAAACAGG